UACGUAGGGGGCAAGCGUUGUCCGGAUUUACUGGGCGUAAAGAGCGUGUAGGCGGCCACGCAGGUCCGUUGUGAAAACUGGAGGCUCAACCUUCAGACGUCGACGGAAACCGUGUGGCUAGAGUCCGGAAGAGGAGAGUGGAAUUCCUGGUGUAGCGGUGAAAUGCGCAGAUAUCAGGAGGAACACCGGUGGCGAAGGCGGUUCUCUGGGAAUAUCCUGACGCUGAGGAGCGAAAGUGUGGGGAGCGAACAGG
rnacentral:rRNA from 1 species